UACGUAGGGACCAAGCGUUGUUCGGAUUUACUGGGCGUAAAGGGCGCGUAGGCGGCGUGACAAGUCACUUGUGAAAUCUCCGGGCUUAACUCGGAACGGCCAAGUGAUACUGUCGUGCUAGAGUGCAGAAGGGGCAAUCGGAAUUCUUGGUGUAGCGGUGAAAUGCGUAGAUAUCAAGAGGAACACCUGAGGUGAAGACGGGUUGCUGGGCUGACACUGACGCUGACAGCGCGAAAGCUAGGGGAGCAAACAGG
rnacentral:rRNA from 1 species